CAGUUUUUGGAUACUUCUAGAAAUUGACUAAUAUUAAAAUUGCACUCUCAACCCUCUAAAUUUGAAAGAAAAAGAACGUUUUAGAUUAAGACCUUUUUAUCAAUAUAGGUGAUUUCAAAUAAUUUCCUGUCACCGUUUUUGAAAUCAUUGUUAUAAUAUUUGUACCCCAUUCAACUCGCAUUUUGUUUAAAGAGAACGAACAUUUUUUUUCAUUUUCUUUAAUACACCCCUUUCCAAAAGAAUGGAAUGAAAUAUGGAGCAAAGAGCAAGAUUUCAAAGAAAGGCCUGGUGCGAGUUUAUUGGAAAUUCGUACCCAGGGCCAUUUUACUCGGUUGCUUGUUGUUUUGGGCCUUUUGGCCAUAGGCUUUCUUGGCAAUCUUGCGUCUAAGAACGUUCUGAACGUCUAGUCUUUUACGCUUUUACCAUCCAAAGAAAUCACCGUUUAUAAUUGAGGACAUCUGGUUGAGGAUUAUCACACACCGCUGUUGGUGUGUUUUUGUUUGAGGUAAGGUAAAUAUUUUUGCCUAAUUAUUAAUAUUCAUGACAGAAAUGAAGACCAAUUUAUACCAUGC